rnacentral:rRNA from 1 species
GGGAUUGCCCUAGUAACGGCGAGUGAAGCGGCAACAGCUCAAAUUUGAAAGCUAGCCUUCGGGUUCGCAUUGUAAUUUGUAGAGGAUGCUUUGGGUAAAACGCCAGUCUAAGUUCCUUGGAACAGGACGUCAUAGAGGGUGAGAAUCCCGUAUGUGACUGGAAAUGUUAACCUAUGUAAAGCUCCUUCGACGAGUCGAGUUGUUUGGGAAUGCAGCUCUAAAUGGGAGGUAAAUUUCUUCUAAAGCUAAAUAUUGGCGAGAGACCGAUAGCGCACAAGUAGAGUGAUCGAAAGAUGAAAAGCACUUUGGAAAGAGAGUUAAAAAGCACGUGAAAUUGUUGAAAGGGAAGCGCUUGCAAUCAGACUUGUUUAAACUGUUCGGCCGGUCUUCUGACCGGUUUACUCAGUUUGGACAGGCCAGCAUCAGUUUCGGCGGCCGGAUAAAGGCUCUGGGAAUGUGGCCUCCACUUCGGUGGAGGUGUUAUAGCCCAGUGUGUAAUACGGCCAGCCGGGACUGAGGUCCGCGCUUCGGCUAGGAUGCUGGCGUAAUGGUUGUAAGCGACCCGUCUUGAAACACGGACCAAGGAGUCUAACAUCUAUGCGAGUGUUCGGGUGUCAAACCCCUGCGCGUAAUGAAAGUGAACGGAGGUGGGAACCGCAAGGUGCACCAUCGACCGAUCCUGAUGUCUUCGGAUGGGAUUUGAGUAAGAGCAUAGCUGUUGGGACCCGAAAAGAUGGUGAACUAUGCCUGAAUAGGU